rnacentral:lncRNA from 1 species
UUAAUUUAUUAGAUCAGAUCUGCUCAUCUCUCCCUCUCUCUGAUCUGAUUUGAUAGUCUCUUUGCAAACAGAUCUGGUUCUCUCAUUAAAACAUGUCUGGUCUUCUUCUCGAACAAGAAUUUAAAGGUUUAUUUUUCUCAAAAAUUCGUUGCUUUCUGGUUAAAUUUCGAUCUUUUUAACGAAUUAAACCGAAUAUUCGUAAAUCUGAGAACGGAUCGGGGAGAUUUUAAAUCGACUUGAAUCCGAUAUCCGUACCGAUCCGAAUCUUCAAAAACCGGACAAUUUUGCGAUAUUUCAUCAGAUAUCAACGAUUUUUUCACCUAUGGUUUUGGGUUUCUAGCACCAUAAACAGUUAAACUUCUCAAAAACAGUUAAACUUCUCAAGAUGGUACAAAAAAUUAUGAAUUACAAUGUGAUGACGGCGGGUUCUAAUGAAUAUGUAUUCCGUAGGAUUGGUUUUGCUAUUCCAAAAAAGCUUGCAACGCAAUUUAUAGCGAGCUUGUCCUCCAGCUGUGAAAUUCUUUGAGC